rnacentral:rRNA from 1 species
CCGCAUACGAUCUAAUCUCGGCAUGAGGAUGGAUGAAAGGUGGCCUUACAUGUAAGCUAUCACUGAAGGAGGGGAUUGCGUCUGAUUAGCUAGUUGGAGGGGUAACGGCCCACCAAGGCGAUGAUCAGUAGCCGGUCUGAGAGGAUGAACGGCCACAUUGGGACUGAGACACGGCCCAGACUCCUACGGGAGGCAGCAGUGGGGAAUCUUCCGCAAUGGACGAAAGUCUGACGGAGCAACGCCGCGUGAGUGAUGACGGCCUUCGGGUUGUAAAGCUCUGUUAAUCGGGACGAAAGGCCUUCUUGCGAAUAGUGAGAAGGAUUGACGGUACCGGAAUAGAAAGCCACGGCUAA